rnacentral:rRNA from 1 species
CACGUAGGGGGCAAGCGUUGUUCGGAAUUACUGGGCGUAAAGGGCAUGUAGGCGGUUUUAUAAGCCUGACGUGAAAGGCUAUGGCUCAACCAUGGCACUGCGUUGGGAACUGUGAGACUUGAAUCACGGAGGGGGAGCUGGAAUUCCAGGUGUAGGGGUGAAAUCUGUAGAUAUCUGGAAGAACACCAGUGGCGAAGGCGAGCUCCUGGCCGAUGAUUGACGCUGAGGUGCGAAAGUGUGGGGAUCAAACAGG